CGAGCGCGGCGGCGGGAGGGGAUGCUUCUCUGCCGCCAUGGUCGCCAUGGGACCCCGCCGGCUGGAAGGAAAGGGGCGCGUGAAUAAGAGGAGGGAGAAAAUCAUCUGAGCUCAGUGCACUGGAGGUUGGGAAAACUCCUGGAGAAAGGAUUGUACUGAGGUCCAGUGAAAGUGAAGGAGGAGCCUGUCCUCUCUGGGGUCCCAAACUGAGUUUUGACACAGUCACUCUGCAACUCAAGCUAAAACUGGUUUGCCUGUUCCAAUAGGAACAAAGCAUAAAUGAUGACAACAAGGUUUCUGCCAAGCAGUUUCGGUGCACUCCAGAGAGAGCCCCUCCUCAUGCCAGGAUGGUAUCCUGGAGUGGAGACCUUUUUGGGAGAGCCUGCUACGGGAAAACAAAAGGCGUUUCCAUUCCGGGCACAGCUCUGGAAGGCGGGAGGUGUUAACGAGCCCUGUGUGCGGGGUGACUCCGCUUCCACUCCAGCGCCAUCGGGGCGGAUCCGUGAUCCCUGUCCAGGCACAUCACGCAGAAAAAUGAACCAACAUACUUCCUGCACAAGUUCGCUCUGUGAGAACAGCAGCUUGCUGUGCUUUGUCAUUUCCUCACUUUUAGACACUGAUCAGACAGUCACCUUCACAAAACUAUCAGGUGAUCUCAUUAUUGUUCCCUAAGAGAAUAAGUGUGGGUGGUUUUUUUUUGUUUUUUUUUUUUUUUUUUUUUUCUUUUUUUUUCUUUUUUUCUUUUUUUCUCUUUUUUUGUUUAAUAAAACUGAAAGUGGGCUGAAGGAAAUCGUGGCACCUGGAAUUGCAAAGCUGCAGCUGGAUCUCAAAACCCUGCUGAGCACAGGAACAUUGCUGGAGCCUGUGGGGACUGAAAAAUGGCAAGAGUAAGAUCUGCGUUUUAUACAACUGAUGCUAUUAAAUGAGUUCUGUGGUUGCAUGGACGUAUCUGCUUGUUCUGACCUGUUAGGUGCCAGAGUGUUUGUAUACUUCUAUGUAAAAAAUUGAGUAGUUUGUGUGGAUCUCCUUCUUAAAACAACCUGCAGGUGAAAGGAGGUUAAGAGCUCAGCAAUCCAAAUGACAAUUUCUGUCCAUGUCAAAUUACAGGAAAAUGGUUAUUUACAUGGAAAGAGUAAACCAUCUACAAUCAAGAAAAUCAAAGUUCCUGGGUGGGUGAACAUGUGGAGUUUCAUGGCAAAGUCUCCACUGCUGCAUUCACUUCUUCCUUUUUUUAUUCAGGUAUUCUUUGACCCAAACAUGUGGUGUCUAUUGAAUUUCACCCACCCCCUGCUGUCCUGCCUGAGGUUCACAGUCAUGGCAGAUGUGUUGUUAAGGUUGACAUAACCAGGAUAUUUGGUGGUGGGCAACAGCCCUAUUCUUCUCCAGACUGGACAACAUCCCCAUUCUGUUCUUCCUUCAGCCCUGUCAUUUUAACCAGUCCUUUCCCUGACAGAUAGCACAGAGUAAGACAGGAAAAUCACAGGCCCUAAAACAUCACAGGUGUUCUCUGCAGUCACCUCUGCCGAGCCUGGCAUGAUGUGUUUGGGCUGGAUGCAGAAAAUGCCACUGGACACCACAAAAAUCCCAUCAGGGAUGUCCUUGGCAGUCCUGGGGGAGGUUGUAGCACAUCCUCUGCAUGGCUCCUCUCUCAGGAAAAGCUUUGUCUUGUUAUAUAAAAGGCAUCACAAGCAUUAUGUGCCACCCACCCGCUGCUCCUGUUCACCCCUGGAUCAGGAUGGCUUUGUAUCAAGCCAAAAAGUGCUUGAAGCUGAGAUACAAAUACACCUGUUAUCUCCAUGUGUUUAUAUAAUCAUAGAAAACAUCUUAUUAUUUCUGAAAUAAUACAUAUGUGCUUUUAUAGUAUUUCCCCCCCUGGAGCCUUGCUGGAUGAAAGGUGUCAUUACAUAAAAUAUUUUAUUCAUGGCCAUGUUUAUCCAGACUGUGACACCCUUUUCCAGAGACAUUAUCUAAUUCUAGCAUCUGAGAGAAUCUUUGAAUAAGAUUUUGUGGUAACCACAAAUAACAAAGGGAGGAAGAUUGUGGAAAGGUAAAAAGGCUGAUCUUGAUUUGCAGCAGGCGAGCUAAAAAUUCCCUGCAGUCCCUCAGUCCUACAUCCCAGUCUCUUUGUGCUGCUUUGCUCUUUAAUAAUGGCUUCUUUUUUUUUUUUUUUCUUUUUAAAAAGGACAAGACAAAUUGUCUAGCCACAAGAAUUUAAACAAUGCUUUUAAUCUGAGUGAAGAAAUGUACUGCACUGCUUGGCUGCCUUUAAAGUCUACUAUUGCGAUAUGUCAGCAAAAGGUGUAUUUGUAGAAGGGAGAGCUGUAGCUUAAUGCAGCAGCACCAUAAAGUUAUUUAUCCCUGCUGUGCUUGAUUUACAAUUCUCAAUAACUUCCUUGACAUUUUUUUUUUCUGCUAAGAAACCUUGAGGUGGUGCCUGCAGAGGUGGAAGCAGGGGGUGAUUCACUGCUGCUCACCCCUGGUGCUGCCCUUGCCUCUCAGCCAGACAAGCUGGUCGAUGAUUCAUUUUAAUUCUUCUGUAAAUAACCUGAGUUUUAAGAAAAGAGAAAUUUCACUGCAUCCCUUCAUCUGAAAUGCACUGAAUUUUUGUUGAAUGGAAAUAAACAUUUUCACCCAAAGGGCUGGUGACA